UGCAUUUAUGGAUACUAUUUAACUAAAUCACAAUAGACGAACUAACCAAUCACAUACUGUAUUGUCUUAUUUGACUGUAAACCCUAUACGGCGACGAUGAGAGCGACUUUCACGAAGAAAUGAAGAAACGACAAAUUCACGAGAUCAAUACAAUUAAUCAAAGAGGUUUUAGAAGUAGAGGAGCUAAAUCAAUGGAGUUUUGAGGUCAAUAAUCGUGGAACACUCAAAGAUCUGAAAUCAUUUGCGAUAAAAGGGAUCUCCAUUCACGUUUCUAGAUUUUUUCAUCAAAUCAUCGAGGGUUCGUUACUCAACACACAAGGGGUUAUGGGAUCUCGCCUAAAAUCCUGAGAGAUCUAUUGUGAUUCCCCUUAAUCCUUGUACGAUAUCAACAUCAAAUAUCCUAUCUACAAGACUUUGGAAUAACAAAUUUGAUGUACAAGGAUGGAAAUAUGUUGGUCUAUAUUCUAUGGCAUGGUUCUGGAUUAUGGUAACCUUUUCAGACAGCAUGCCUCGCAAGGAAAAGGACUGUGGAUUGCAAAAAUAUUUGUUUUACACCAUGGGUGGAUUUUUGUCUUUCAUUGUCGCAAGGUUUUGCGCGUUUUGGAUAUAAACGCUGUAUGUUAUUUUACACAGUUUGUUAGUCAAAAAUGUAACUAGCUAUACGGAUAUUAGUUAUUGUGUAAAAAAGAAAUCAGUAGUAUGGAUCACUAUGUUCUCAGGUCA